UACGUAGGGACCAAGCGUUGUCCGGAAUUAUUGGGCGUAAAGAGCUCGUAGGCGGCUGUCCACGUCGGAUGUGAAAGCUCGGGGCUCAACCCUGAGAGGCCAUUCGAUACGGGACGGCUGAGGAUGUGAGAGGGGAGAUUGGAAUUCCUGGUGUAGCGGUGAAAUGCGCAGAUAUCAGGAGGAACACCGGUGGCGAAGGCGGAUCUCUGGGCCUUACCUGACGCUGAGGAGCGAAAGCUGGGGGAGCAAACAGG
rnacentral:rRNA from 1 species